UUCUCCCUCACUCCCGGCGCCUCCCGACCCCCAUCUUCUCCCUCACUCCCGGCGCCGCCCCGCCCCCACCUCCUCCCUCACUCGCGGCGCCGCCCGACCCCCAACCUCCCUGGAUCCGCGUGCGUCCACGCCGGCUUCGCAGCGGCGCUUGAUGUGGAGCGCGCCGGAGUAGAGGAGCGGGCCUUCUUCCUCACCUCACAGCGCUGUCCUCCUCCACGACCACGCAGCCGCAGCGGCGGAGGACCCGAAUCCCUAGCCAGCAAGCUCAGGCAGCCAUGGAUCCAUGGGGCGACGCCAUGGAAGGGCCACCAACACCAGCAGCUAUGGACAUGCAGGCUGCUGCCCUCCCUGAUGCAUCAUGCGCGCAGGCCACAAGGAGGGAAGAACACUGCUCUGCUACUUCCUGGGUCGCCAUGGAAGGGUAAAGAGGUCAACCUCUUCCAAUACACAAUUGCUGAGGUGUUCAAAAAUCUUAGUGAGAGAGGACAUUGACGGUGCGAGAAUGGAACACAACAAGUUUUGUGUGUGUGUGUGUGCAUUACCGAAACGUCGCACGACAUGGUGAAAGUUAUGGAAUUUUUGCUGUAACCGCCUGGACGAAGAUGACAGGGCUAACCGGCUAACAAAGAUGCAUUCAAGUUGAAGGUUCAGAGUUGCAAGGCAGGCACAGUUAACAAGGAUAAGAAAUUGUAGAAGAUUUAUCAAAUCAGACAUGGGCUUGGUUAUGCACUGAAUCAUUGUGGGGGAUCUGAGGUAAUCAGACCAUGCACCCAAACUUAAAUUUUACUUGCUUUUAAAUGUUUAGGAGGCAGAUGAUGUUUGAUAUGCUAGACUAAAGUACGCACCUUUUAAGAGUAUAUCACUGAUACUCCAGUCACCAAUAAAUUCGAAAGUGCGUACUGCCUAGAUUAUUGGAGCUCAUUUUAGCUCUAAGAGUUCUUUUUUAUCUCUUUCACAUUCUGGUAAACAUGUGGGUGAAUAACAGUUAGAAAUUGUUCUAUAUGUACACGGGAAUUCUAAUAGAACUCAUGCUUGAAAUGAUAAAAAGUUCUAUAAUAUUUGUUAGCCGAGCGCUGGAAAAGCUCACUCCUCACACCAGAUCACCAUCGCCGACGUAUAUACUUUUUCGUAACAGAGUCCACAUGUUUACUCAUGUUCUCAGUUUUUUGUUGUUUCGGGGAAGGUUGUUAGGAGCCCAUCUCUUCUGCAGCCCUGGAGAAAGAGAGCUAGAUAUAGUGGUACUUGCUAGCGUUUUAAUGGACACCUCCUUUUGGCCUUUUUUAAUUUCUCUAAUAAUUAGCUAAGAGACUUCAGUGAGUGAGAUUUUUUUGGCCCCUCCCUUUUUCUGUGUCUUUUGGAGUUUUGCUUUGUGGUGAAAGGAGGAUAGAGAUACUCAACAGGGGCCGCCCUCUUCCUCGUCCGAACAAGAUCCCCAAGAGCCUGUACCCACUUGAGAAGAGCUCGAUGAGCUGCACGGCCUCACACAUGAGGAGCAGGAGGCCCAGGGAGGAGGAGUCAUUUGUUUACAGUAGGAAGAUUGGCUUAUGACCUGGUGCAUACCUGCAUGGUAUUUUCAGUAGAGAUGAUUCAAAAUCAAAUCAGCUGUUUGUUAACGUGGUGUUGCCUGCUGCGGUUUUACUAUAUUGUGAAUUUCUGAUUGUGUGCAAAGGGGACACAUGUUCAACUAAUUAGAUCAGUUUGUUAACUAGAACGUGUUAUUGGGAAUAAGCACAGAUCAAUUGUCAGCACAAGAAAUGUGGAAUGCAUUAGAAGUCAUUGCUGUUAUUGUUAUAAUGUUUAAUCUUAAAAAAGUAUACCUACUCUCUCACAUGGUUACUGAUACGCAAUUUUUGUUUGCCUCUUCUCGUGCUGCAGGAUGGAACUGGAACCGAACUUGGUAGUUGAAAUAAUUCUCUGUCUUAAUUCAAGGAGGACCCUAUAUCUAAAGGUAACAGAGCAGUUUAUAUCAUAAUUCCAUUGCUUGAUUUCUAGAAGAAUGAAAAAGGGAGAAAUGGUUGUUUCAUUUGGUGUGCGGAUCUGGUUUAAAGUGUGCGUGCUUAUAUCUGGAAGAUCUUGGUUGCAAAAGUAUAUCAGGAAGAUCUUGGUUGCAAAAGUGAUCAGAUAUACUCCUCUGUACCAAAAUAUAAGACGUUUUUUUUCAGUUCAAUUGAAUUGAAAAAAUGUUUUGUAUUUUCGUACGGAGGGAGUAAUAGUCAACACAACCAGGUUGGUUCUGUAAUUAAAUGCCUAUGAUCUUGUAAUUCUGAAUCAAAUAGUUUGAUUACACAAAGAAUGAUAUUUACUUUGUGUAAGAUCUUGUAAUUCUGAACCAAGUUAAUUCUGAAUCAAAUAUUUUUUCUACUAUUCUAUAUGUAAUAAAUAGAGCACAAAGAAUGAUAUUUUCUUUGUCAGCAUAUAUAGGUCUUAAGUAGCAAAUCGGGGCAUUAUACAUAGUUUUGUUUUGCUUUGGAUUUCAAUUAACUUGGAAUCGAGGGAGAAGUUAUGCUCUCUGUAAUUUUAGCCUAACAGGUAAUUCUUAUGCGUUUGAAUAGGGUAUGGUAUUUUUUUUAUUUAAUUAGUUUGGCGUUUCUUGUAGGCGAAAGUUCUUCCACGGGUGUUUAGAAUUGGAAAUGGUUAACUUACGUUGAUAUGGUACCAUAACUAUUCCACUUGCAAGAAUAUGUAAGGGUAUAUGGCAAGGCAAUUCUUGUUUGACGAGCAUAAUGAAAAACAAAGCGGCAAAAGAAGAUAAAUGAUGAAAGAAGAGAUAAUUUUUGUUCGAGGGUGGGGAUGGAAAAAUAUGUGGCACGGAUAAGCAAAAACAUCUUGGUCGCCAUAUGAAAAUGAAAUGAUGGAAAAAAUGGAAUAAACAUGUUAGUUGGACAUGGCACAUUCAUGAAACAUAAAACCCAUCUAAUUAGUUUCUCUCACAAUCUUUAUUUUGUUAUACUCCGUUCUAUUCCCGAUCUCCAAUUGAUGCAUGACGGUGUAUGUGAACACUUGCAUCGAUCCAUCCACCUUGUGCCGUAAUUAACAUGAAUAAAUGGAGGUGGUGUGGGGAUGCAGGGAGGGGGAACAAAUUGAAGAUGGGUAGCACUGUACAGUUUCCUAGCAAUUUCCAUAAUGGAAGGUCGUCUGGUGUAUUUGAAUGUUGCCAGUUUAUGUGGGCCAACAACCAGUGAGCUUAUGUCAAAACAAGCAUGACAUCUCUUUGAUUAUUUUAGGGUCCUGUCAUGAUUGGUGUGUAACUGAAUCUUGAGAAUUCAUUGGAUGUUUCGCGGGUGUGCAAUCGAACUUGU